rnacentral:tRNA from 1 species
CGGGGCGUAGCUCAGUCUGGUAGAGCGCCUGCCUUGGGCGCAGGAGGUCAUCGGUUCGAAUCCGGCCGCCCCGACCA